GGGGUCUAGGUCAUGGUUUUUAUUCUGUAACAGGCCCCAUACUGGUAGCUUAUUUGUGUGUCUGGGCUCAGUUAGGUAAAACCCCUCACUGGCACAUUGUAUGCUGUGGUGGGCAAGACGAGUUGUACCAUGUCUCAGUAUGGUAAUGUACUUAUACCCUAACUGUUGGUAUAGGAUAUGCACUGCAUUGGCUGUUAUGGGCAUCAGGGUAAACCGCAGUCUAGGCAACAUAAGGCUUGUCUAUUACCAGGCAAUCACCCAUCAAAGUAAUGGCUAUAAUUAGUAUCAAAGCUGAAAUAGUAGUAUUUUUCUGGAGCAUAGGCAAUUGCUUGUAACAAUAAUGACUAUAAUGCAAUUAAGUUUUGAAUUGGAAAGUGGUGAUGGUAUGAAAAGAUAUUAAUAUGCAAAUUAAAUGAUUGCAGUCUUCGUCGCAAAUUGUUUGCGGUGAAGGACAACGCCAUGGCUAUCCAAUAAUAUGCUGAUCAACAAUAAGGAAUAUACAGAAGUCAUAAGUAGCCUGCAACUGAGCUGGGUUACCUCCCAACCAUUCUUCUUUCAGAUCGUGAUUUUAAGACUCAAACCCAAUCCAUUGACAAACUGGAUAGGGUCCAUGAAAGUUUUUUCUGGACCCACUGGGUCAUUCAGUAUGGGUUGGGUUUAAGU
rnacentral:lncRNA from 1 species